GUGAGGAAUAUUGGUCAAUGGACGGAAGUCUGAACCAGCCAUGCCGCGUGCAGGAAUAAGGUCCUAUGGAUUGUAAACUGCUUUUAUUCGGGAAUAAACCUCUUUACGUGUAGGGAGCUGAAGGUACCGAAGGAAUAAGCACCGGCUAACUCCGUGCCAGCAGCCGCGGUAAUACGGAGGGUGCAAGCGUUAUCCGGAAUCAUUGGGUUUAAAGGGUCCGCAGGCGGGCUAUCAAGUCAGAGGUGAAAUCCCACAGCUUAACUGUGGAACUGCCUUUGAAACUGAUGGUCUUGAAUUAAGUGGGCGUUGGCGGAAUAUGACAUGUAGCGGUGAAAUGCAUAGAUAUGUCAUGGAACACCGAAAGCGAAGGCAGCUAACGAUACUUAUAUUGACGCUCAUGGACGAAAGCGUGGGUAGCGAACAGGAUUAGAUACCCCGGUAGUCC
rnacentral:rRNA from 1 species